CUUGAAUGUCUACAGAUUAGUUAGUAGUAUUUUAUCAAUGUUCAUUUCCUGGUUUCAGAAAUUGGACUAUGGUUUUGUAAGAUGUUAUCUGGGGAAGCCAAAUGAGGGGUUUAUGAGAACUAUGUAUUAGUUGCACAACAGUUUCAUGAGGC